CUACACAAAGCACCAUCUUAAAAAGCCUGAGUUUGGGGGGGGGGGGUUGGUCUGCCCCACAUCUCUAGUUCUGUUGCUGAAUGAAAGAUGGACAGGAAAUUAACGCAGUGGUAGGGAAUUUCUUGCCAAGAGUGAACUCUGAAACAAAAGACUCACUAUUGUGAAAGAAAAUCUGACAUCUGUACCCUCGGCCAUGUUCUAAACUUCAGUAAUCCUGCAGUAUGAUCUGUGAUUUGUUGUAUGUUUUUAACGUAUAUAUCUAAAGUGCUGGGUUACUCCUUGUCUUCCGACUCCUUCUAAAAGAGGUGUUAGUUUCUUUGUUCCUCCUUUCUCUCCUGGCUUAAUUGUCUUUCUAGCAGCAACAGAGUUAGUCAGUGGAGUUGACCAACUUCCUCCUUUCACCAUCCAGGCCAAAAGCACACUACCUGUGAGGUUUAUAGGAUUUCAAUUGCUCCCAAGUUACCUGAGAUUACGGUACUGGCCCUUGUUUUGAGAGGAAACAGAAAAGGCUCAUUUCUUGGUAAAUCUGUGACCUUGACCUUGUUACUAUUUCCCCAUUUCAAUAAUCUAAGAAUUUAAAACCGGAGUUCCCGUCGUGGCUCAGUGGUUAACGAACCUGACUAGUAUCUACAAGGACGUGGGUUUGAUCCCUGGCCCUGCUCAGUGGGUUAAGGAUCUGGUGCUACCAUGAGCUGUGGUGUAGGUCGCAGACACAGCUCGGAUACCAUGUUGCUGUGGCUGUGGCGCAGGCCAGCAGCUGUAGCUCCGAUUCAACCCCUAGCCUGGGAACCUCCAUACGCCAUGGGUGCAGCCCUAAAAAGACAAAAAAAAAAAAAAGACCAAAAAAAUAAAGAAUUUAAAACCUAACCAAGUGCUGCUCAGGUAGAUCCACUGAGCAUGAUCCAUUUGUGAGAUUAAGUUUACAGGCGAGAUUCUCUUAGUAAUCGUAGUGCGUUACAUUAUUUGACGUUAAGGGCUAAUCUCUCAGAGAACUCUUCAGACGGAUUUUCUUGAUUUUUUGUGUGUGCCCAAAAUGACAUCACCAAAGCUGGUCAUAUCCUUCCCUGCUUUUCUCAAAAACCAGAAGGGGUCUACUUCAUUUCUUUCAAUCAGCUUAUCUAUAGUUAAGUGCUUCUAAAGAAAUGUAUACAAUUGCGACCUACCAACACAAAAUUGUGUUCCUCUGCUAUCUAAAUAGGUGCCAGUAAAGCCAGAAGUAGGACCAGGUCACCAAUGUAUCAGCUGUAGAAGUUUUUUGGGCAGGUUCCAAAAGUCUACAUCUGCUUGGCAACAGCUCAGAAAAGAGAUACGGUUACUCUUUCUACAAACUGCAAAAAAAAAAAAAAAAAAAAAAAAAUCACAUAAUCACUAUUCUGCCCCUCAACUUAAAAAUGACUGCCACACAUGGAUCCAAAAUCAUCAAUGACAUAGUAAUCAUAUACUGUCCUGUUCAUGUGCUCUAAAAGUCCAAGUGGGAAACCUUUUCUCCUUUUCUUUUUGCAACAUAAACACUUAAGCAUUUAGUGAUAAAAUAUUAAAAGGGUGAGGCUCCAGACCCAGUGAGCACAAGUUGCUGAUAUAGCACCAGGCACCAAGGAAAGGUGUCAAGUAUGUUAAAAUAUGGCUCUGGCUUAGACAUUAGGGGCCCUAUUCUUGCCCUAAUAUGCUUGCCUUGUUCCUACUGUCCACAGUUAAAUGUGCGCAUCAGCACUAAAAUGCAUCCCCUUAAAAUCUAGGGAGGAAGUUCAACACAUCUAUGUCACUGAACAAAGUAACUGUCACAUUUACUCACCACAAACAACAGAUCUAGACACUGUUUUUAAUUAUAACAUUAAUUGAUCUUUUGUCACCACUAAUUAGAGCGAUAACAUCACAUUUAGUUCCUUCACUAGCAGGAGUCGACUUUUGAGUUGCUGGAAAAUGCAUCAGCGGGGAGGAGAGCGGCAUGGGCAGAAAAAGGCGAAUUUGGGGGAAAAGCUAUGUUAUUUUCUAAAAAGAAAUGUCUAUCACAAUUGCGAGCAUUUUUAUAGUUUAACGAAUCUUGUUUCUUAUGAAAACUUCACUUGGUCUGUGUGCAACUGGAGUUCGUACUGCUUUUAUAUAAAAUGUUUCCUCAUUGUUGGGAAAUUACAGAGAAGGAAGACCAGGUUGAUGACCGGAAAAGGUACAUUUGUACCUUGAAAAAACAAGUUGCAUGAACCUGUCAUAGCCCUAGUCUGUGAGAAAUGUAAGGGACUUUAAUGGGUCUUUUAGUAGAACCACUUAAAAUUAAGUGAUGAAUUGGAAUGGGAAAAGUUAUUCCAAUAAAAGCAAACAAAUUAACUAACCUGACCUUGGUCCACAUAAAAGAUUCAUUUUCUUAAUGGAAACAAACUCUUUGAGUCUAGCUCAGGUUUAACCACUGAAGUGUAUGCGGAACCUAAAUUAAGCUAUAGAAACGUACGCCUCCAGAAACUCAGGUGUGUGUGCACAAGCAGGUGAGCGUUCUUACGGCUGCGGGAUAUGCCAGAGGCAUGGUCUAGUAUGACCCACUUCUACAAUGAUUACCACAUGAGUCAGAAACCUGUUAAGACCCAAUUAACACAAAUGUCAUGCAUCACUGGUGCAUGCUUUGUCCAGAGCUUAAUUCCACUGUUUUCCUAAGUAAAUUCUGUCUCUUCUAUUCAUUAACUUUCUCUUCCCUUGGGUACAAGAAGCAACUUCUUCCAUUUUGUUUAAAAAGAUUACCAAAGAUCUGGAAGUUACAGGGCAAUGGGUAUGUCUUUUUGUCCAUUACUCUACAAAAGUAAGGUAACAUCUGUCCUCAUCAUACACGUGGCACCCCUGAUGCCAUAAAAACCAUAGAUCUUUCUUAUUUCACUGGCAGCCUGAAAGAUAACGUCAGGCUGAGCAAGCUGGAAAUGGGUUAGUCUUGCCUCUUCCUC
rnacentral:lncRNA from 1 species